UGAAGCCUGUGUAAGGGCUGGGACGUUUAGCUUCAUGUGUAGCUAUAACAGAAUUAAUGGAGUCCCAGCCUGUGCAAACAAGAAGCUGCUGACAGACAUCCUGCGUGACGAAUGGGGCUUCCAGGGUUACGUAGUGAGCGAUGAAGGUGCUGUGGAGCUGAUCAUGUCUGGGCACCACUACACCCACAGUUUCCUGGAGACUGCAAUUGUGGCUGUGAAUGCCGGAUGUAACCUAGAGCUUUCUUAUGGGAUGAAGAAGAAUGUUUACAUGUACAUAGCUGAAGCCCUUAGCAAGGGCAACAUUUCUGUGGAAACGAUCCGGCAUCGUGUCCGUCCCCUUUUCCUCACUCGUCUACGCCUGGGCGAAUUUGACCCACCUGCCAUGAACCCCUAUAAUGCGCUGGGGAUGGAGGUUGUACAGUCAGAAGCCCAUCGCAAUCUGGCCCUCAGAGCCGCCCUCCAGAGCUUUGUUUUGCUGAAAAACCGGAAUGAAAUGCUGCCUUUUAAGGAGGAAUAUUUGUUGCACAAGACCAUUGCGGUAGUUGGACCCUUUGCAGACAACGCUAAUCUCCUCUUUGGGGACUAUGCACCAGUCCCUGAACCCCAGUACAUUUAUACACCCAGGAGGGGCUUAGCAGCUAUCGCAGCAAAUGUCACCUCUGCCCUUGGAUGUGAGCAUCCGAGAUGCCUCGUGUAUUCUCCCAAAGAUGUGAAAGCUGCAAUCGAAGGAGCAGACAUUGUGGUUGUGUGCCUUGGGACAGGGACUGAUUUGGAGUCUGAAUACAAUGACCGCAAGAACUUGUCUUUGCCCAGACAUCAACUGGACCUUCUGCAGUCCUCUGUGGCCUGGGCCGCCGGCCGUCCUGUGAUUCUGCUCCUGUUCAACGCCGGCCCUCUGGAUAUCAGCUGGGCCAAGGAACAGGAUGGCGUGGGAGCAAUUGUGGCUUGUUUCUUUCCUGCUGAGACCACAGGGCUGGCUCUGGCCAAGAUGUUGGUGGGCGCUGAAGGGGCAACUCCGGCCGGCAGGCUGCCAGCUACAUGGCCAACGGGAAUGGACCAGGUACCCCCAAUGGAGAACUACACAAUGGUUGGCAGGACAUAUCGCUACUAUGGACAAGAGGCCCCAAUGUACCCCUUUGGCUAUGGACUCUCAUAUACCACCUUCCAGUACAGGGAUCUGGUAGUGAGUGCUGACCAAGUGCCCAUUUGUGGGAAUCUUAGCAUCUCUGCGGUGGUGGAGAAUGUUGGAUCCAGAGAUGGUGAAGAGGUGGUACAGCUCUAUCUCCGCUGGGGAAACCCAUCUGUGCCUAUGCCCCGCUGGCAGCUGGUUGGCUUCCACCGGUUGCCAAUACGCCAGGGACAAGCUGCCAAGGUGGCCUUCCUAUUAUCUUUCAGCCAGAGAGCCGUAUGGGCUGGACAGUGGUGGUUGGAGCCUGGCACUUUCACCAUCUUUGUUGGUGGCCAGCAACCCUUCCAAGAAGUACGCCUUCCUUCAAAUGUCCUCCAGACCGACUUUCAUGUCUUUGGGGACUCCCGUGGUGCAAGCCAAUGCUAGUCUUCUGAACAGGCCAGGAUUGCUCAGGGAAAUUGACCCAGUGGCUUGCCGAGCCAGAGUUUAUCAAAAAGGAAGCUUUGCACUGAGUAAAAGCUUGUAAGAGAGGGAGCCAAGUUUCUGAGAAGGUAUGACUAUUCAUCUGAGAAUGUAGCAGUUGUGUUUUUGUUGGCUCCAGUGACUGGAUUGCGUUGGACAAUGGGCAGAGGAAGGGUUGCCCUGAAAAAAUAAGAUUGCCAGGAGAAUAACAGAGCGCUUACAGAACAGUAAUAAACUCCAUUUUUAAGUGGUC
rnacentral:lncRNA from 1 species